UACGAAGGGGCUAGCGUUGCUCGGAAUCACUGGGCGUAAAGGGUGCGUAGGCGGGUCUUUAAGUCAGGGGUGAAAUCCUGGAAGCUCAACUCCAGAACUGCCUUUGAUACUGAAGAUCUUGAGUUCGGGAGAGGUGAGUGGAACUGCGAGUGUAGAGGUGAAAUUCGUAGAUAUUCGCAAGAACACCAGUGGCGAAGGCGGCUCACUGGCCCGGUACUGACGCUGAGGUGCGAAAGCGUGGGGAGCAAACAGGG
rnacentral:rRNA from 1 species